UGGGCUUCGUCGAAGAAAGCCAUUGUGAAUUUCAAUUUGCGGCGGACCCAAGAAGUUCAAAUGUUUGUGCUGGUGCGUAUCGCUGAGAGGUGAAAGAUUAAGUCCGAAUUUGCAUCUUGCGAAACCAAGCUACGCGAACCCAGUUUGACGCAUGUUUGUUUUUAUUUUGUUUUGGUGAAGACAAGUGAGUUCAUCUAAAUUGCGCAGCUUAUUGAACAGUCUUUUGGUUAUCAAUUUCCGUUCCAACAAUAGGAGACAGUUUUCUUAGUAUCUCGAUUUGAUAAAACACGUGCUAAGGCUACCGAUGAUGAACGGUAGCAGUCACGUUUCAGUCUAGGGAAAAACAAACGGGUUAGUAAUUUUGAUUCAAAUCCUGAUCGGAUUUGUUCCGAUGGUGUUUCAUUAUCAUCAGUUCGUGCUGUGAACUUGCUAUCUUGAGACUGUCUCCGGGCAAUAAAAACAACAACAACGAUCGUUAGUGGAUUGAAACAAAAAAAGAAAUACGGAAAGAAAGCUGAACCCCGAGUGUCUCACGAAGCGGUGUGCAGCCGGUUGGAACCGGGACCAAGAGGUUAGUGAAACUGCAAACCCCGAAAGAGGAGAUCAAAGUUCGUCAAUUGGUUCAAGUGAAACGACGGGCUCGAGUUUGCAUUCCGAACCAAAAGUAUUUUGAGACCAAGAAAGAAGUUGCUGUCGAAUAGUGCUGUGUUUCAGUUAGGAGCUCAAGUUCUUGUGUCUCGUUCUGUUUUCAUAUGUGGCAGUGAACUUGAAAGUGUGCUGCAGCCGAGAGUCGCUGCAUGGUUUUUUUUUUGUUUUGUACUCUUGAGGAUUUUCAGUAUCGCCACCACGACGACGGAUUCAAUUACCGUUGGAUUUGUGCAUGAAGUCAGCGCAAGCUCCGGGUCGAAUAAGAUCAACGCAGUGCUGGCACAUUCCCAAUUAGUAAGAACUUAACGGAAACCCGAUUGAUUUCGGACAAACGCGGACGGGCGAACGCGCAUUCGCAAAUUGAGUUCAUAAAACAAAAACCUGUUGGUGGGGCAGGUAUCGAAACUAUCGGCGAGAUCAAGUUUCGCAUCAUAGACAAAGUGAAUCUACGGGAAGGGUGUCAACGGCUUGGCACGGCGCCCCGAGCAGCACAAGAAGGAACGCAAACAUACUAAACAUAAUCGACACGAUAAAAGCAUAGAAUGGAAGUAGCCGCAGCAGCAUCUUCGGCGGGCUCCGUCCAGGCCGGGUCGGCUCUGCGAGGCCCCUUCCAGCGCGAGAUCCGUGAGUGGCAGCACGUUGAUCCCAGUACCGGUGCUUUGCUGACAGGGCGGCUCGAGGCAGAUCGCUGGGUCAAUGGACCCCUUAACAGCUUCGGCAAGAUGGUCACACACAACUUGUCCACACCGGAUGGAAGCACCCAGCACAUGCAGAAGAAACAGAUGGAAAUCCUUCAGGCCCGCACUUCAUCCGGUUCGCUGCAGGUGGUUCGAGCUCAAACCGUUCAAACGAGUUCGUCGCGUUGGACUUCCUCCACACUGCAUUCCGAGAUCAGUAAUAGUAGUAGCAGUUCUAACAAUCUUCACAGCAGUUCACUGGCAACCGUCUCCAGCAGUAAGACCAGUGCACUAACGACUAAUGGGUUCUCGAGUCAUCAUCACCUACCGCAACAGUUUCACCGACCGGUGAUAAAUUCUAGCAGAUUAUUGAGUACGGCAGCCGGCAGCAUCCUACACGGUACUUCUUCUCAACAUCAGAGUCCUCAACCGUUGACGUUGAUCCAACCAGUGACGGCUAGUGGAGGGAACCAUUUUACGACAUCAUCAACAUCAUCAUCAUCGUUGUCAUCGGUGUCGUACGGCAACAAGCUGCAUUCCAAACCUUCUGGUCUUCAUCGUACGGACAGUGGACAUCGGCCUCAUUACGAUUACUUCGACAAAUUCAAAGACAUCAGCGUAAAGGAGCAACCGGCCGAUCCCGAAAGUUUCCUAAGUCGUGGUAAGAGUAUUUCGAUCGAAGAUCUAUCCACAGAACGCGACGAAACUAACUUCGAUGACGACGUCGAACCCACGCAGUGGAAGCGAGUUAGUAAGAUUCGCCGUUCGCUUCAAUUCCCAAGGAAAACCACCCCGAAAAGCAACGCCCGUCCGGCCGACUUGCCCGAGAACUCUGUGAGCGUGAGCAAAAUUCGACAGGAAUUGGAAAACGGUCGCCGAUUGAACACCGCCAUGAGAAACAAUCACAUCGAUUUCGUGGCUCUUGAUAACAUUCUGAAGAAUGUUGUGGAUUCCCCAAUUCCCAAGGUUGACGCUCCCCGAACGCCAACUGCGCCUACGACGACCAAACCUCCAACGAGUACUUUUCUGACCGCUGAAUCACUCAAAGCCAUACGCGGAAAACUUAGGAGAUUAAGUAACGAAUCGCUCUAUCGGGACGAUAUGAGCCCCGGUGAGGAACGUAAGGACGACGAUGACUCGGUUACGAUUACGGAGGUGGAAACGCGGAUGGGUCAGCUUCAAACCAGCAGUUCGUCCGACAGUUCAUACAAAAGCAACAGCUUGGAGUCCAAUCGGAAGGGAUCUACCGACAGUAAUUCGGAAGAUUGGCACUCGAGACGUAAAUCAUACGGAUUCGAACGAAUGCACCAGUCGUCAGGAUUUAUGGCAAAAAUGGACUCUUCAACUGACAGCGGAAUCGGUCGCUCGUCAGAUCUCAGCUCUAGCUGGUCUAGCGGAGGAACGGAGAACAUCGCUCAUACCAGAGGGACCAUUGUUACGUUGGGUGACUUGGGAAAGGAGAAACCGACGAGCUCGGCCAUGGUCAUAAAGAUUACCAACGAGGCACAGGACAGUGUAAAGUUGAAUCAACGGGACGAAGAGACGAAACGUCACUCGAUUGCUGUCGACGAGACCAGUUACGUGCGUGAUAGUCUGAAGAAUAUGUUCGAAAAAAAGACUUCGGUUAGUGUGAAUGGUUUUACCCACACAUUCAUUGAUGACUUAAACAGGAACAAAAAGAAGGUUGAGUUUUGUAAAACAGAAGUACAUUUCACAGCCGAUUCGGGACGAGUAAAUAUAGUUGAAACCGACGAAAAACCACCACCAACUAAUGUUUUCCGUCGACGACGUCGAUCUUCGGGGGGUUCCCUUGGAUCGACAUACCUACAGGCGAUCAACUCGGGCGUUCCGGUGACUCAUUUUGGUGACUUAGAAAAAGAGGUUAACGAAUCAGAACUGAAAGAAAAUCCCGUCUAUUCGGCACCUCCUUCGGUUGUGACCACUUCGGUCGGUCGUUCUGAUAUAAAUAAUCCUAGCAAGGCUAUCGUGACGGCUUCGGAUGACAGUGACAGUCAUUCAGCAGAUGAAAUAUCCCUACGGGGAAUACUCAAAAAUAAACCUACUAAGCCAAAACCGUACGUUUUGGGUGAAAAUCUGGACAGUAGUGAAAGUUUAUGGGGCGUCAAGCUGCGUCCCGUUUCGACCGAACUGAAUUAUUGGAAUGGUGAAUCGGAUGAGAAGAUGCAUAAAACAGAUGACACUGCCACAGGUGGUGCUUACUCAACAAAAAUUAAUUUGACUCAACCUACUGUGGUAUCCUGCAGGGCUGAUGAUUCGUCAGAAUCGUGUCCAAAAUCCACCACCAAGAUAAUGAUCGGUAUGUCAAACUCUGAUCCAGUACCGACCGAACGCAAUCCGCUUAAAUCGACAUCGCUGAUCAUGCGUACGAUGCGUUCGGCGACUCAGUUUGAUAAUGCUAUGAGAAAACUCGAAGCAGCCCGCCGAGAUUCGUUGGACAGUAAUACCGAAGAGGAUCGUCGUUCGGCAUUUCAGUUGAUCUCCAGUACGAUUGCAAAAUCGAACUCUGCCAGUAGUAUCUACAAAGAGACACCCAAGCUACGGGUAGCCAAAUAUGCGGCUUCCUUGGACGGUGAUAUCGACAACGAUGAACGACCGUCCUAUCGGGCUCCAGUAGCUGCCUACCGCAGACGAUCCACAAACGAAUCGCGACUGUCGGACUUCGAAGCGUAUAUCAGCAAAAAUAGUAUACGCCGGUCCAGUACAGAUGAAUUUCCAUCCGUCAGUAUGGUGUCAAAUGCUACUACGGCUAGACCAGUAGCAGCACCCCGGAUGAAGAAACUUGGUUCAAGCGUUUUGAGUCAUCAGCUAACUCAACUGAAGCGACUGUAUGACGCCGCCGAACAAUACGACAGCGAUGACAGCGCAAAAGCUGACGAAGAGGUCAAACUGUACCUAGGUAAUCUGGCUGGAAGUAGCGAAGAGAAAGCCGGCAGUGAACUGUCCGGAAGCUGGAGUCGACUGAAAGCUAAAAGAAAUUUCCAAAAGUAUCGCGACCAGGACGUAAAAAUAACGGUAAACUCUCUGUCAGAAUUUGAUAUAGUGAAACCAGCAUCGAUCGGAACAACAAAAACAACCAUCACGAGUGACGGUCAGCAGAAAAGCAGUAACAUAAUGUCCAUUGCUCUGAAAAGUCCUACGCCUCUGCGGAAAGAGCCACCACCAUCUAGCCCAGUGAAAACCCAACCAACGAUCAAACCGCAACAAAUCACCACUCAACCGACACAACCAUCAUCACCAUUCAAGCGGCACGUUCCGACUGCCACCAGUAGCGAAACGAACGGCACAGCACGAAACGAAGAACGGGCAUCACUUCGGCUGUCGUCGGGUGCACGACAACUUCGCGAACAUGAACUGUCAUUCUUCGGUGUCGAUCCGAACAAAAAACAUGAAUCAUCAAAAUCAUCGGCUUCCGCUUCGUCCUCGUCGACGAAAUCGACCGUGAAUACCACAUUUACCCGAUCCACAACCCUCACAUCAUCCUUCAUUAAGCGUAACUCGAUUAACAUGAAUCCCUUGACCCCAUCAUCCACGACAUCCUCGGCCAGUUCUUCUAGCCACGCGAAACCACAGACUUCGGCCUCAUGGCAGCUAACUAAUGACAAGCCCGACUUGCUGCGGCACAGUCAAAGAAUUGAUGGUGUUACGAAUUACAAAACUAGCAGAGAUUCCUCAACAACGACUGCCCUGAGAGCGGAUACGACAGUGGUGCCAUCCGCCGAACCACACUACGAGAAUCUAGUCAACCCUGUUGGGGAACCUUCAGCUACAAAAUAUGACCGCAAGAAAGAUCUUAAGCGUGACGAAGAAAUUCUCGAGGAGCUGACACGCGCAGCUGAUGAGAUUAUGAAUGUUGUUAACAACAUGUCCAAUGCUGAAAGUACGGAAAGUCUCCUCAACGAGUUUCGAAAUUCCAACAGUGGAUGCACAUUGGGUACGAUCAGAGAAUGCUCUACAACGAACAAGAUCAUGAAAUCGCGAGGAAUACAAGUCUCAAAAAACUUCGACGAGAGUCUGAAGCGACAUCAACGAACGGAUAAAGUUUCGUCGGCAUCUUCCAACGAGAGUCUGUUGCGGCCAUCUCCAACGCCAAGUUCCAGCUCUCGAACCGCACAUCCGCUCGAUACUCGCAACGGUAACAGCCGUCGUAAAGUCACCAGCUCGACCAGUGAAUCCCGUCGAUUGAUACGAAUGUGUAGCAAGGAACGUCUGCACCAAUCAAAUGCAAGCUCGUCGGAAGAUUUACCCAACUCAACCACAGUAGAGCCUCCUCGAAGACCACGCCGAACUAGACAUCAUCCCAGCUCAGGCGACAAAGACAAAGAAAGUCCUCGAAUCGGGCUGUCCAAAUCCUCAACCGCAGAUAGCCGAAGAAGUGAUGAACGAACUUUAUCUAGUCGGUCGCAUCGCAGCGAACGAUCCUCCACCAGAACGAGCAAAGGUCUCACGAGCAGUUCUCGUCCGUCCUCCAGCGUCCUUCCGGUCACCGCAGAUCCACAACAUCGUGUUCAUCGCAGCAGCAAGUCCGGAACGUCCGUCCUGACCACUACGGCUUUUCCGCUAAAAUCAAACCAACCAAACAAGAGCCAAAUGAUAGUUUAGCUAUGGCAGAUGGACACCUGUGUGCACUGUGCAUAAUUUGUGAUAAAAUCAGUAGAUCAUCCAAAAAGCAUCACCGGUGAGCCCAGGCCUCCUGUCAGACAAAGUGGUGGUGAAAUGCCACAGACUUGCGUCAUCGCAUCUGUAAGCUGUCAACGCGAACGUCUAGAAGAACAUUCACGUAACACCGAAACGCCAGCAUGUAUAUGAAACUAACACAGAUCUCGAACCAAUUCGAUGUAAUUAACGAAAACACAAAGCCGAAAGCCGAAAAUGCAAUGCAAAACAAAUGUGAUAGGUGCUAUCACUUGAGAGAGAGAAAAAAAAACGCCACGAGAUAUUUCGACAAGCUGACACUAGAGCGAUCGACCUUUUCCGAUCCGUUUAUUAGAUUUAUAAGCCGCCCCGCAGAACGCAAAGCUGAUUAAUUAUGGUUUUGUUUUGUUUUUGGAAUAGAAGCUUCUUAUAUAGAAACAUUGACUGUGUUCCUAGUACGGUUUGAUUCUAAUGUCUUUCACAAGGUAGAGAGCUACAGCCACUAAAUGCCCGAACUACGACGAUUGAAUAGCCGAUAAGCCUUUCUACAAACGAAAUUGACGCGAAAGGAAUUCGACUGGUCAUAUAAUUAUUAUUUCGCUUUCGCACAGUCUCAAUUGUUUUUUUUUCAUUUUUUGCACUAACGAGUUACUAACAAAGCUCAGUAAUCGAUUAUGGAAACAUUCAUUGAAAAAAGCGUUUAUUGUAGGAUUGUAAACGUGUGUCUUUAUUUGUCACAACAGGGAAAUAUUGCACAGAUAUUUGAGUUUAUUUUUCUUUUCAUGAACAAUUUCACAACUUACAAUGUUUUACAAUGCGCCCGCGAACGAUAUUUAUACAAUAUUUAGAAACAAUAAAAAAACAUAAUUUACAAAA